GGUUGGUUGGCUCAGUGGUUAGAGCGUAGGUCUCGUAACCGAAGGAUCGUGGGAUCGAAUCUAUCCCGCUUAAGGCU
rnacentral:tRNA from 1 species